rnacentral:rRNA from 1 species
CCACUAUGCCUAGCCGUAAACAUUGAUAGAACCUUACACCCGCUAUCCGCCCGGGAACUACGAGCAAAAGCUUAAAACCCAAAGGACUUGGCGGUGCUUUAAACCCACCUAGAGGAGCCUGUUCUAGAACCGAUAACCCCCGUUCAACCUCACCCUUCCUUGUUUUUCCCGCCUAUAUACCGCCGUCGUCAGCUUACCCCAUGAAGGUCUAAUAGUAAGCAAGACUGGUAAAACCUAAAACGUCAGGUCGAGGUGUAGCGCAUGAAAGGGGAAGAAAUGGGCUACAUUCGCUGCUACAGCGAACACGAAAGGUGCACUGAAACGUACAUCUGAAGGAGGAUUUAGCAGUAAGCGGGGAAUAGAGCGUCCCGCUGAAAUCGGCCCUGAAGCGCGCACACA